rnacentral:miRNA from 1 species
AUUUUUAGUGUCCGUGUUG